CUGUCCCUGCUGUUCUCGUGAUGCUCCACGCGUCUUGAGCCAACAGUACCUUGAAUGGGAGCUUUUGUUUUAGAGGGGAUGCGGUAGCCUUCGCCAAGGCAAGGCAACACCUUCUAUCCGAGCACCCCCCUGCUUUAAUGAGCAGGUUCAAGGACAAAUGGAAUGCACACGGCUCGGCGGGGCUUUC
rnacentral:other from 1 species